AUGAAUGAUUGAGAAAAUAAUCUUUUGUAAACUUGUCCCAAUCUGUCCGAAGUUCCUGGGGAGCAGCUGCAUACCUGUUCAGAGAAGAAAAAAGUGUUGUACCAUUACAACCUGUGACAUGAGUGAUGCAGAGAUGGCAUCAAACCCUCCUUCUAGUUCGCUGGUAGCAACUAGUACUCAAGUACCUGCCCAAGUACCUGUCACCUCGCAAGUAUCUACAGCUUCGCAUUUAAGUACCAGCACCUCGUGCAAGUACUUCUGUCACCUUUGUGCCUGCUAGAUGAAUCUUGCUCUAUUUUAUAUUAUGUGCUUCCCUUGCAGGUUAUGUUGAUUGUUAUGUUGGAAAUUGGCUAAAUAUUGAAAAGCCAAUUUUCUGGAUGUUUGUAUUCCAAAGGAGACUCUGUCAAAAUCUUUACUGAUUGGGUACCUUUGUUUUCUCGCAAGUGUCUCUACAGUUGCCUUUGCAGGUACCUCUACAAGUACCUGGAACCUAGUACCUUUACAGGUACUUCUGCAGGUGCUUAGCCUUUAUCUGCUCUUGUUAAGAUUCCUAGAAUGUAAGUGUAGGUCUCUGACACUUCUUCAUUAGGCACGGUAUCGGAUAUUGGGGAAUUGCCAAUUCAACCUUGUUCCAAAGUCGCCUAUUAACUUCAAGCUUCCUACAAGAACUUUCCUGCAUGCUAUAAUCAUUGCAUUUCAAUGUAAUAAAUUUAGCAUACAUUUGAUCACUUGAAUACUUAUUGAAAAAU